rnacentral:rRNA from 1 species
GAUGAACGCUAGCUACAGGCUUAACACAUGCAAGUCGAGGGACCGGCGCACGGGUGAGUAACACGUAUCCAACCUUCCCUUUACUCGGGGAUAGCCUUUCGAAAGAAAGAUUAAUACCCGAUAUAAAGGAUGGGGAUGCGUUCCAUUAGGUUGUUGGUGAGGUAACGGCUCACCAAGCCUUCGAUGGAUAGGGGUUCUGAGAGGAAGGUCCCCCAGAUUGGAUCUGAGGCACAGUCCACACUCCGACGGGAGGCAGCGGUGAUGAAUAUUAGUCGAUGGGCGCUAGCCUGAACCAGCCAAGUAGAGUAAGGGAUGAAGGCUUAUGAGUCGUAAACUUCUUUUAUAUAAGAAUAUGUAUUAUAUGAAUAAGGAUCGGCUAACUCCGUGCCAGCAGCCGCGGUAAUAC